UGUUAGGGCACGACACCGGAGAGGGAGCCUGAGAAACGGCUACCACAUCCUAGGAUGGCAGCAGGCGCGCAAAUUACCCAAUCCCGACACGGGGAGGUAGUGACAAUAAAUAACAAUACGGGGUUCUUUCGGAUUUCGUAAUUGGAAUGAGUACAAUUUAAAUCUCUUAACGAGGAACAAUUGGAGGGCAAGUCUGGUGCCAGCAGCCGCGGUAAUUCCAGCUCCAAUAGCGUAUAUUAAAGUUGCUGCAGUUAAAAAGCUCGUAGUUGAAUUUCGGGACUAAUAUGUCGGUCGUGCCUCGGUACGUACUGGUUUAUUGGUUUCUCCUUUCUGAAGAACCAUGAUGUCAUUUAUUUGGUGUCGUGGGGAAUCAGGACUGUUACUUUGAAAAAAUUAGAGUGUUUAAAGCAGGCUCACGCUUGAAUACAUUAGCAUGGAAUAAUGAAAUAGGACGUUUGAUUCUAUUUUGUUGGUUUCUAGGAUCGACGUAAUGAUUAAUAGGGAUAGUUGGGGGCAUUAGUAUUCAAUUGUCAGAGGUGAAAUUCUUGGAUUUAUUGAAGACUAACUACUGCGAAAGCAUUUGCCAAGGAUGUUUUCAUUAAUCAAGAACGAAAGUUAGGGGAUCGAAGACGAUCAGAUACCGUCGUAGUCUUAACCAUAAACUAUGCCCACUAGGGAUCGGGAUGCAUGUUAAUUUUUUAAUGACUCAUUCGGCGCGUUACNGAAACCAAUGUGUU
rnacentral:rRNA from 1 species